GUGUCUCUCCUGAGCCCUGUCGCCCCUGCCACACCUGACCCACUGUGUCUGGCCACCUUGGGGCCCUUCCCAUCCUGGAGGUGGGGGCCCUGCUCCCUUUUCCUCUGGAAGGAGGCUGAUAGUUCCCUGGGCCUGGAAGGUACUCGCCUCCCCCACCUGCUCAGCUGCAGCCCCGACUCCCUUUUCUGGGAUACCAGAACGGCUCCCCAACACUGGGUCUAAACCACCUGGGUCCACACCACCCUAGAGGGGAGCCCUUGGCUGUGGUCUGCCCCACUUGGGUUCUCCACACCUAAGCCAGUGGAAAUUUGGGAGCAGGUCAUGAGGGAAGAUAAAUUGAAGCCGAGCCAAGCUGAAUUGGAGGCAUCUGAGACAAGAACGUGCGGACGCCCAGUGGACGAUCCAGGCAGGCUGGGGUGUUGGGGACGGAGCCGUGGAUACACCCAUACUCAACAGGCAGAGGGAAUAGAUAUUCGACGGGGGACCGGGGUGUCAACAGAUGUAUCCGAGUUCAUGCGUGGCAGGGAGCUGGCGGCGGGACCCGUCCCUCCAGCUGGCUCUCCAACCCCAAGCCUGCAUUACGACCACGGCAAAAUGCCAGAAGCCCAGAGAAGCGGGGUUUCUGAAGCGGAUCGUUUGUUCAGCCCGAGUGCGUGGGGCAGGAACACACCUGGAGGUCAUUAAAGAGAAGUCUUCACGGGGCACUCAAGGCACACUGCAAAACAACUUUUUAUUUAAAAGGCCAAUAAUGAGAAUAAUGAGUUGCACAAGAAUGAAAACCUUAUCCCUUCCAAAAGAUCGGCCUAUACAUUAUGUAUAAAGUUAGAAUAAUUCUAAAUACAAAAUGCCAAAGACCA